AUUGAACGCUGGCGGCAGGCCUAACACAUGCAAGUCGAGCGAGCGGCGGACGGGUGAGUAAUGUCUGGGGAUCUGCCCGAUAGAGGGGGAUAACUACUGGAAACGGUGGCUAAUACCGCAUACUAUCGGAUGAACCCAUAUGGGAUUAGCUAGUAGGUGGGGUAAAUGCUCACCUAGGCGACGAUCUCUAGCUGGUCUGAGAGGAUGACCAGCCACAGGGGGACUGAGAAACGGCCAAGACGCCUACGGGAGGCAGAAGUGGGGAAUAUGGAACAAUGGGCGAAAGCCUGAGGCAGCCAUGCCGCGUGUAUGAAGAAGGCCUUAGGGUUGUAAAGUACUUUCAGCGGGGAGGCGUUACCCGCAGAAGAAGCACCGGCUAACUCCGUGCCAGCAGCCGCGGUAAUAC
rnacentral:rRNA from 1 species